CAGGAGCAGCGACGGUGCCCGAGCAGGCAUGGGAAGCGGGCGGCACGGGCCCGCGCCGUUGGGUGGAGGAUGCGGGGGUGUCCCAGACUCGGGCGAGUCCUGGCCGCCGGCUGCCACAGGGCACGUGGCAGAGGACGGGCCGCCCCUGCAGGCAGAGCGGGCGGCCUGUGCGCGGGGCCCGAGGCCCCGACCUUGCUAUUUCUCACCUUUUCUACAUGACUCGCCACGUUCCUUUCUACGAAAGCUUUUCUGACGGGGGGUGGGGGGCACGUUUCUCAGGCCGCUUCUCCACCCCGGGUCUCGCUGCGCUCGGAUGUCAGCAGCGGCUCCCAGCGGACCCAAGCAGCGAGCAGAGCUGCAUCUGAGGCGAGCAGCUCCCCGGGGCCCCCCACGCCCCCCACUCGCCCUGGGGCCCCGGCCUCUAGUCCGCCCGGCCUCCCUCCGAGCGCAUCUCACAAGCGUUACCCCCGUUCCUCAGUCAGAAGCACCGGACGCCACCGGGGGACAGGCCACGGCGGGGGUGCGCCGUGUGAGUGGAAAGGACAUUGGCAGGGGCGCGCCAUGGCAGCCGGGCAGACUCCAGUUCUGAGGGCCUGAAGGCAAGGCGGGGCGGGCCACCCUGAAGGGGGUGUUGGGGGCACCAGGGGCUCUGUGACACCUGAGAGGAGGCAGGAGGUCCCCGGACAGAGGCGGGUGCUGCUGGCAAGGCUGGGCGGGAAGCAGCCCCACACCGGGGGCGGGGGGGGGGGGCGGUCCAGGACGACUGCAUCUCCCGGCCGGGCUCCUCUUGUCCGCUAGUCCCUAUUUCCCCAGCUCCGGGUGACGCACCCCCCACGGGCUGUGUGCAAGGCAGAGACUGUCCUAGACCCUGCCUCCUGGCCGUGGGGGCAGCGAAGGAAUUCCGGGAGCUGCCUUGUGAGGGCAGAGGGACCUCAGCACCCGUGUCUCCCCCUCCACUACCUGCACAAGCCUCCCACCGGAAACAGCACCCCCUGAGAACUGCGGGUGCUGGGCUCAGGACCCCGUUUGCGAGGUAGCACAGGUCUUCCCGCUGGGGUGUGUCAACGACGGCAGUGGCUGAGCAGGUGGUCACUCACCUCCCGGGGCCACGGGUGUGCCCGCAUGCCCCCCAUGUCCCCGGGGAACCACCUACGCAUUCCUCGGAGCACUGGGGUCUGGACGUGGCUUAUAAACGUGGACACAACUUGUGAA